UACGUAGGGUGCAAGCGUUAAUCGGAAUUACUGGGCGUAAAGGGUGCGUAGGCGGUCGCGCAAGUCGGAUGUGAAAUCUUAGGGCUCAACCCUGAAACUGCAUUCGAUACUGCGUGGCUCGAGUACUGGAGAGGAGACUGGAAUUUACGGUGUAGCAGUGAAAUGCGUAGAUAUCGUAAGGAAGACCAGUGGCGAAGGCGAGUCUCUGGACAGUUACUGACGCUGAGGCACGAAGGCCAGGGGAGCAAACGGG
rnacentral:rRNA from 1 species